rnacentral:rRNA from 1 species
CCUACGGGGGGCAGCAGUGGGGAAUAUUGCGCAAUGGGCGAAAGCCUGACGCAGCGACGCCGCGUGAGGGAUGAAGGUCUUCGGAUCGUAAACCUCUGUCAGCAGGGAAGAACGGUCACUGUGCUAAUCAGCAGUGAAUUGACGGUACCUGCAAAGGACGCACCGGCUAACUCCGUGCCAGCAGCCGCGGUAAUACGGAGGGUGCGAGCGUUAAUCGGAAUUACUGGGCGUAAAGCGGUCGUAGGCGGUAUGUCAAGGCAAGGGGGAAAUCCCCGCGCUCAACGUGGGAACUGCCUUUGAAACUGGCAAACUGGAGUGUGUGAGAGGAUAGUGGAAUUCCAGGUGUAGGAGUGAAAUCCGUAGAUAUCUGGAGGAACAUCAGUGGCGAAGGCGACUAUCUGGCACAUAACUGACGCUGAGGAGCGAAAGCGUGGGUAGCAAACAGGAUUAGAUACCCGAGUAGUC